UUUAGUUGGGUCAUGUGGUUUUAGUUUUGCAUGAACUGUUCGUCUUCUUUCUGCUGCCUGAACAAGGUUCUAUUACCCCAUACACCAUACAAUGAACACUAUCAGUACUUUGUCAAUGAUUUCAGUGAAAAGUGAGAUGACUGUGAGGAUCUGAUGAUACUAUUAGGUGCCAUGCUAUUGUAUAUGAAUUGUUAGAUAUCAGUUUCCUUUCUUUUGUUCUUUUUUUACUGCGAAG
rnacentral:lncRNA from 1 species